AUUAGUAGACCAAAAUGUUAAAAGAGUCAUUAUAAAUAGUAGACUUAGUGUAAUAGUUGGAAUGAUGUUGUUAAAAAGGAUAAAAUAAUCCUAUCCCCUCUUCCACUGGGGACUUUGUUCCUAAAAACUAUUUCCUUAAAACUGUCUCUCUUGGAUCAAUUUCAUAGAGGGGGUUGGUCGCUAACUAGAGCAGAAAUACUUCUUCCUCUUUAAAAGUAAGAAAAAAGGCAGAUGUGAGAAAAAAAACUCAGUUCAGUUGUUAGAAUUGACAGUGGGAGAAUGAGGUAAUUUUUUCUAUGAUUCUAUUUUCUCUGUGAAGUAUGAGGUGAGGUCAUCACCUCAGAGGGGGGUGGGACCUUAAGACAGAUGAAGGUAUGUGUGGGAAAGCUGACUUACUAGAGAAAUGUGGUGUGAUUGAUGGGUGAGCUGAGGGCUCAAUAUUUGUGAUCAUUUAAAGUGAGACCUGUCAGCUCACUUCAGCAGUUGAAUGCAAGCAUUAAAAUUGAGUUCAAGCACCAAGUAGGUAUAUGAUAGGGGUUUUGGGGCGUUAAUGUUUGCCCAACAAGUACAAAGGAAGAAGAGAGGGAUGAGAAGAUUAGUGAGGUAGAUUGUCAUGAUAGACCAUGGAAUCUAAACUGGGUGAGCAGGGAAAGGAGAUAUCAAGAAGCUGAUGAAUAGUGGAGAAGUGGUAGGAGUCAUUGGCAUAAAAGGUUUUGUGGGAGGCAACUGCUGGAAUAGGUGGAACUAAAUCAUGAGGGUGGUGGUUAAAAAGUGAGACGCUUGAUUUUGGAUGUCAGAGGUGGCACAGUUACUAGUGAAGGCAAGAGCUAGAAUAUAAUCACAGGAAUGGUGGCUAAGGUGGAACACAGAAAAAGAUCAAUGUGGGUGAGAAGGUCAUGAUGGCAGAAGUGUAGUUAGUAGUAGUUGAGAACAAGACUGGAAGCUCUGUGACUCGACCAAGAGAGUGUGUAUGACAGCUUUGGGGAGAAUGAUGUUCUGAAUUUCUGAGGGGGUUAUGAUUUUUGAAAGGAGAACAAAGAAAUGGUAUGGGAUUGGUGGUGGAAAGCAAGGAGAAUGAAUACUUAACCCACCUCUAAGUAAGUUGGACAUGGGAAAAUAAAUAGCUUCUUCUUAAAAGGGCUAUAGGGAGCACUAUUUCAGGAAGACACCGCCAGGCUUCAGUCAGGGCAAGAAGUUGAGGGAACAAUGAAAGAAAUUUGAGACUUUUAUGAAGAGGAUAUCUCUAUUCUAGAUAACUGAGUGGAAGAGUUUGGGAAAGCAAGGAAGUGUGGAAGAUUGGAUCACAUUAGGUGAUGGUGAGGUCAGAGUGAUGAUAAGAGCCAGGGAAAUGCUAUUAAGUUUUGGACUCUGUUGGCAAAGAGGUUUAUCCAGCCAACUUCAGAUGCACAAACGGUUCAGGAUACCUUCCUAGUAGAUAUCUGAUCUAUAUGAGCCAUUCCUGCAGCUACAUAUGGUGUGAUAGCCUGAAGAAUGUGCAUCCCCACUAGGUAGAAACUGGCUGCUUGAGGAACUCCAAGGAAUAUCUAUCACUCCUGCUGCAGUUAUAUACAGGCAUACCUCAAAGAUACUGUGGGUUCAGUUCCAGGUCUUGCAUAACGUGAAUACUGGAACAAGGCAAAUCAAAUGAAUUUUUUGGUUUCCCAGUGCAUUUAAAGUUAGGUUUACACUAUACUGGAGUCUAUUAAGUGUGUAAUAAGAUGUCAAAAAAAAAAGUACAUACCUUAAUUAAAAAAUACCUUAUUGCUAAAAAACGUUAACUAUCAUUUGAGCUUUCAUUGAGUCAUAAUCAUUGAUCACAGAUCACCAUAACAGAUAUAAUAAUGAAAAAAUUUUUGAAAUAUUGUGAGAAUUACCAAACUGUGACACAAAGAUAGUAGUAAGCACAUGCAGUUGAAAAAAUGAGGCCUAUACACUUGGCUCUGUGCAGAGUUGCCACAAACCUUCAAUUUAUAAAAAACACACUACCUGUGAAGUUCAAUAAAAUGAGGUAUGCCUGUAAAUAUCUUUACAAUAAAGGAUUUGGGUACAGUAUGCUUGUUUCAGGAUCCAGCAAGUGGAUAUUUGAGGUUGUUAUUGAGUAUCUGAGAACUCUCCUUUCUCUGCGUGGUUCUCCACCGGGACUAUACUAUUCUCUCAUCUUCAGGAUAUCCUGGAAGAUUGUGGAAAUGCUUUUGAGUGUCACAAUUUUGGGGAGAUGGUCUUGGGGUCAGGAACAGUAUGAGUUCCAUCAUGCAAAGAGUAGUCCUGCAACACAAAGAAUUGCCCAUGGGACUUUUGACUAUCCCACAGAACAUCCUAGUAGGUGAAAUUUCCACUUGUAAAUUUUCUGAGUCUAGGACCUAAAUGUAAAGUGUUUUUGUACAGUUUUUAUAUAUACUAACAUUUCUAGGAUUGCUACUAGUAUAUAAAAUAAGGGAAUAUUAUACUGUGUUUUGUUUAGAACUUUUGUAGUGAGUUGUUACCAUUUUGGAAAUAACUUCAUCAACAUCAUUUGUAGUAUUUGAAUCAACAGACCUAAAGCAUAAACUCUGUUUUUUUUUUUAACUGUCACAUUCACAGUGAUUCUUUGUAGACAUGUAGCAUCUGUGAUUGCUUCAUUUUGUCUUCCUAGGUACAUACCCCAAGAAUUUACAUGUUGAAACACAUAUUUGAUUGUAAAUUACUUUCCUUUUAUUUCUACUUUGUUUUGCAGUAGGUUCUUGGAUUGAAUAUUUGAAAAAUGUGGAAAGCAGAAUAGUGAAGGAAUUUGAAAAGAGGGAGCAUUGGAUCUGAUAGGAUUGAAAAUAGCUACUCUACUGGGCUCAAAACAUGAGCAGUGGAGUUAGGUUUUAUUUCAAGUUCUGGUUGUCCUACUUAACCCCAAGUCUGGUAUAAUUGAGAUCUUGUGUAAAGUUUUUAGCAUGGUGCCUUAUUAUGCAGUAACUGCACAGAUCUUUUUAGUUUAUUGUUUUAGUUUCAUUUUUAAUCCUUGAAGGAUAGAAAUGUGUUUUUUAGGUUGGUUUUAAAAUUUUCAGCAAAUUUCCAUUAUAUAACAAGUGAUUUUUGUUAUAGAGUGUUUUGAUAGUACUAAUUUUGAUACACAUAUAGUUGUAUUCAUGAUAGAAUGUGAGAUAGUAAGCAAGGUGUCAAAGAACAUGGCCUUAAGUAGACAAGUAUAUCGACCAAAUGGAUUGUUUUCUCUCCUUAAAUACAGGCUUGGUUUCCCAGUGGAUGCUAAGAUGUAUACAAUAUGUUUUGAAGAAUUCAUCAGCUGAAAAAAAAAAGGGUCACUCAACAAACUCCGGUUUGCUGUCAACUUUUAUGAAGCCUUUAUUGACAUACCUUCCCAAGCCCUGUCAUAUAUAACCUGAACUUGUAGAAAAUAAACUCGUUUAUGUGAUUAUUUCCUAGUAUCUAAAAGCCCUUUGAAAGCAGAAAUAGUGUUAUAUCUUAACCACUUAAUAUUGUUCUGGCAUCAAUGUUUCUUUAAUUAAUGAUUAAAUAAUUCUGAGAAAAUCUAGGUACUUCAUGAUUUUUUUGUUAUCUAAAAUGGUAAUCAGAUACCUGUUUUAAAUGCCUGUGAGCUUUUGGAGUGAAACUAAUAAAGUUGGAUUUAAGCUAUAA